CCUGGCAGAGUUUUCAGAUAAAUAAGAUAAUGAAUCAGUAGUGGAGGAGAUCUCAGCCUGGGUCAUAAGCUGGAUUCCUGUAGGAUUUGGACAUACCUAGGAUAUACCAGAGAGUGAAAGGUUGCCUGCUGGGGGGUAGAAUCUCACAAAUUUGUGUCAAUUACACUGGGGAUGAUAUUUUUGAGCAUAGUUCUAUUCUAUUAUUCUAGCCCAGACCAACAGGCAUAUCUGCUUAAGGUGGGGAAAAAGGGACCAUGACAUAGUGGGUAAUAAAAUCUAAAGAAGUAUCACUUAUGCAGAUCCCAGGAAGCAUAUAAAAAUGAUUUCAUAUAGAAAUGAUUCUGAAGAGUGACCUUUAACAGCUUAAUAGCAACACAGUGGGCACUGGAGGCCUCCAGGAAGAUUUGAGCAACACUGGAAGUUUCCUCCAUGUGGGUGAAAAUGGUAAGAUCCAGGCAACCUCUGAAGCUGAUCUCACCACAAAGGCCAGAUGGGGAGUGACCAUUGCCCCCUAGUAUGGAGAGGAGGUUCACUUCCACUGAGGUUCACUGGAAGACACCUGGAGAACUCCCAGAAAUGAACAAGUUAAACCUUGAGUGCUUGUUGUUAUGGAUGAAGAUGGAGUCAGAGAGAUACUAUCAGUUGCAUGGUCCUAUCUUCAGAGUUCUAUCAUCUAGAUAACAUGGUUCAUGGGAAUAAAGUGCUUGGCGUCUUGCCUGGCACAUUGGUGAUCUGAAAAUAUUAGUCUUACCCCACCCAGAAAGAUGUUGGCUAGUGCAAGGAUCACUCACCAAUUUCUGGUCAGCCUGGUGGUCUCUGUUCAUCUGUUCUAUUAAUGCUGUCAGCUCUGAGAUCUGCUCUUCAAGGUCACUAAUUAUGUUGGUCCUAUGGGAGAAGUAAUUCUUCUAUUAUCUACAGAACUUAUAAUUCAUUGCAAGCCAGUCAGGCCCCUGGGAUGAUUAGAACCAGGUCAUUUCUGUAUUAGCUCCACCAUUAUGAGGUAGGCGUGACAGAAUGGAGGGGUGCUCUUGGAGAAGGUUGGUUGUAGUUGAGUGGUUGAACCUCAGAUCUAGCCUUUUGGGUGACCUGGCCAGAAGGGAGCAGGGUGGUUUGGUACCCUAUUGAGUAAAGAGAAAUAGGAAUAUGUCUGACAUUGAUUAGGGUUUGACCUUGACUUGAUCAUGAUAGUUGAAAUGCAGCAGGGUUAAGUUCAGAGGAUUAGGAAAUGAGACGGCGGGGAGUAGGAUUCAUGCGGACAGUGAAUCAUACACAAGAAAUGGGCCAGAAAUAGGACUAAGAGAGGAGUUAAGAGAGUGACUUUCAGAAUAGAUAAUUAUUUACUGUGUUUGUGGGCCUGAGGCUGCCAUGCUAUGUAAAAUUACUCAGUUCUAUCUGGUUGAGCCAGAGUAAACAGAGUAGCAAGUAAUGCUAUGUGCAGUGAAAGUGAAGGGAGUUCACUUGGCCAAACACUCCUCUAUGUCUAACUGGGCAUGAAAGCAAGUGAGGUAAGAAAACAAGACAGGAUCUGGGGGGAGGGUAACAGAAUCUGAGAAAGUCAAACAAUACAGAACCCUUGUCUUCUGAACAUGAGCUUCAGUGUAAGGAAUGUGCAGACAGCUUUACCAGGGAAUGAGACAAGCAUGGGCUAUUAUGUUUUAUUAUGCCACAACUGGUGGCAAACUUCUUAGGAGGCCACAAAGUAGCUGUGGGUAUUAGUGUGACUGGCAAGUACAUGUACAUGACCCAUUCUCUUCCUGCUGAGGGUUGUGGAUGAUCAGAGAAAAGAGGACAGAGAUGGAAUAAUCCCACUGGAUGGGAAGAAGGGAAACUGGUCUGGCUUCUGGACCAGGUCAGAGGACUCCGGGCAACUCCAAAGCACAGUUUGACCCUCAACCUGAAUCUCUUCUAAGCCUACUAAUGGUUUGGCUGUGUCCUUUCUACACACUGACAGAUGGGAACAAUCACUCUCCUCAGUAUGAAUCACACUAAUUCCAUCUUCAUCUCAUCCUCUGGAUUCACUCAUGGAUGGGAUCAGAACAGAGCAAGAUGGGUGUGGAGAGAAGCAGCAUUGGGAAACAGGGGGCAGAAGAGAGGUGGCCCAGUGGCCCAGGCAAGGAUGUCAGAGGCUUGUCCUUGAGGCCAGGUGGGAUAGCUGAGAGGAGCUGGAUGCUGGUCCUAAGAUAUUACCUGGACAUGCUGAAUUUGUCCAUCAUCUCAGAUUCCAACCGCUUUUUCCUACCAAACAUUUCAUCCCCCAAGGUGACAGAAAUCUGUUCCCGAUGCCGGGCAAGUUGAUAGCCAGGUGACACAUUGAUCACUUCCUGAGCGCCAAUGGAGAAGAGAAAGUAAAAUUGUAGACUUAGAGCCCUGAGAGUCCUCCAAGUCUACCAUUGUCUUAUCAUCUGAAAAACAGAGUCAUGAGAUGGGAUUCCAGGACCCUAGUUCCUUCCGCACCCUCUCCCAGUUACCAUUCACCCUCAGAUCUUUGAGAUCCAAUCCCAAUGCUCAACUGCGCCUCCGCUGCAUCCUCCAUGCUGGAUGGAGCCAUUGUGGAAAUGCUCAGGUUUUGGAAUUGAACAGACCUGCCAAUUCUCUAGUUAUUUAACAUCUCUGUGCCUCAGUUUUCUCAUCUGAAACAUGGGGGUAAUAAUUCUCUCUCAAAGAGCUUUUGUGAGGAAAAGUAAAACAACAUAAAGAAAUGACUAGCAUGGUUGCAAAAAACCAAAACGAAAAUGUCAGUUUCUUCUCCUUCCCAUACGAGAUGCCAAGUCAGAUUCCUGGCAGGGCUACCAGCUGGUGUGGACCAGAAUGAGAUCCUUGCUUCUGGAGCUGCCAAAUGACCUUGAGGCCCCUCGACAUUAUCUCCUAGAGCAUCUCCACCUGGUCCUCUCUUUUACACUCACCUGGACAUCACCCAAGGCUGUAGGCAUCUUGCUCUGGUUUCUAAUGACACCCUCCCAGCUGGCCUCUCUGCCUUCAGAAUCACUUCCCUAAGUUCAUCAUCCUCUCCUCCUGGAGAGGCAAUAAUGUUUUUGUGUGUUUUACUUCCUGGUCAUUAAGGAGUGCAUGGUUCUUGUGGGAUAUGGUGGCGGGAGGGAAGCAAAGCAAAAAAUAGCAAAAGGUUCCCAAAAUAUCCCAUCAGAGGGCACAUUUUUAAAAAUGUAAUUCUUUUUUUUUUUUUUUAGUUGUAGAUGGACACAAUACCUUUAUUUUAUUUGUUUAUUUAUUUAUUUAUUUGGGUGCAGGGAUCAAACCCAGAGCCUCACACAUGCUAGGCAAGUGCUCUACCACUGAGCCACAACCCCACUCCUAAAACGUAAUUCUUACCUGGUUCUGUGCUUGUGUCAGACCCAUAAACACUCCUGUGCAGAGCAGGGAUCAGGCCCACACUCCAAGGCAGGUGUCAAGAGCCUUUUGGGUUUGCUCUCCAUCUCUUUCCCCAGCAUUCACUGCUGGUCCCUUCAGGUGUCCUGACAUCCCCUGCCAUGGGAUUUGUGGCUUCCUGUACACCUGCGGAGGCUUCCUGCACCUGGGCACGAGCUACACCCUGGCCUGGACUAGCUGUCCCUGUCGGGUUUCCCUGGGACUCUAGCCCUGCAUGAGCAUAGAGUGGCAAGCAAACGCCUGACAGGCUAAGUCGUGGUUCCGCCAUUGACCAGACACACGCUGUGCAAUGAUAACAGCACCUCCUCUUAGGAGCAUGCAAAGAUUCAGGAAGACAGCAUGCGUAAGAGACCUGGGCCUACUGGGCAACUGCUGGAUCAAUGUCCUGUGAUCCUGUCCCGUUGAUACUCACAUAAGGUGACUUACAACCCUCCUCUUGCCUUCCUACGUUGGUUUUCACUCUGCAAGAGAAAGAAGUGCUCAG